GAUGAACGCUGGCGGCGUGCCUAAUACAUGCAAGUCGAGCGAACAGACGAGGAGCUUGCUCCUUCGACGUUAGCGGCGGACGGGUGAGUAACACGUAGGUAACCUACCUAUAAGAUUGGGAUAACUUCGGGAAACCGGAGCUAAUACCGGAUAAUAUUUCGAACCGCAUGGUUCGAUAGUGAAAGAUGGCUUUGCUAUCACUUAUAGAUGGACCUGCGCCGUAUUAGCUAGUUGGUAAGGUAACGGCUUACCAAGGCAACGAUACGUAGCCGACCUGAGAGGGUGAUCGGCCACACUGGAACUGAGACACGGUCCAGACUCCUACGGGAGGCAGCAGUAGGGAAUCUUCCGCAAUGGGCGAAAGCCUGACGGAGCAACGCCGCGUGAGUGAUGAAGGUCUUCGGAUCGUAAAACUCUGUUAUUAGGGAAGAACAAACGUGUAAGUAACUGUGCACGUCUUGACGGUACCUAAUCAGAAAGCCACGGCUAACUACGUG
rnacentral:rRNA from 1 species